GCUUCCUACGGGAGGCAGCAGUAGGGAAUCUUCCGCAAUGGGCGAAAGCCUGACGGAGCAACGCCGCGUGAGUGAUGAAGGCCUUCGGGUUGUAAAACUCUGUCUUCUGUGAAGAACAAGUCUGUGAGUGGAAUGCACAGGCCCUGACGGUAAAAGAGGAGGAAGCCCCGGCUAACUACGUGCCAGCAGCCGCGGUAAUACGUAGGGGGCAAGCGUUGUCCGGAAUCACUGGGCGUAAGGCGCGCGCAGGCGGCGAUCUGCGUCUGGGGUGAAAGCCCGGAGCUCAACUCCGGGAUUGCCUUGGAUACGGGGUCGCUUGAGGAUCGGAGAGGCAAGGGGAAUUCCACGUGUAGCGGUGAAAUGCGUAGAGAUGUGGAGGAACACCUGUGGCGAAGGCGCCUUGCUGGCCGAUUUCUGACGCUGAGGCGCGAAAGCGUGGGGAGCAAACGGGAUUAGAUAAAGCCGAAUUAAAGG
rnacentral:rRNA from 1 species